CUAAAUCUGGAAGCUGAGUCAUGGAUAUUUAUAAUCAACAACAGGUGUUUAUUAAUGAUGGCAGUGACAAUAGAGAAGGAAAGAGUUGUGUGGGGAUAACUCAUUAAUAUCAGGGAAUAAAGAAGUUGUACUUCUCUCUGCAAAGAAAUCAAGUUCAUACUGAAAUCUUUGCUGUCGUAAGAUUGAUCAUCAAUCAGCUGAUCCAAGACCCACCCCUUAUCACCGUCUCCCUUGUCUAUGUAGACAUUUUAGACAGAGUAGAAAAAUAAACACUUGUUUCUC
rnacentral:lncRNA from 1 species